AUAAACAUCACGGAUUACAACAUUGGAAUAUAAUAAAACAUUAUUUAAAAUUAUGGUUAUGAUGUUUCUUUUACGAAAUACAACUCAAAAUAUUCGAGAAACGACGAAAAAUCAGAAUUGUUAGAAUGGAAUUUAACACGAAAUUAAUUUAAAUGUGUGCAUUUGUGAUGGCUUUACAGUUGUCGCCAUUAUUUUCUCUUAGGUAUGACUCGACAUCUAAGCUUUCUGCAUCGUUAAUUUAACGUUUUAAACUUUAAAUUGUAAGUAAAAUUAAAAAAUAAUACGUAGAAAUUUCGAAUAAUCAAACUAUCGCGGUUGUUUCUUUACAGAAUCUGAACAGGGACCGUGGGUUUGUUAUGUUUGCCAAAGAUCUUUUACUAAAAUAUCUCUUCUAAAACGACAUCACAGACAACACGCUACUAAAUGUAAUUCUUCAAACAGUAAAGAUGACGAUUCCGAGAAAAAGAAUUAUCCUUGCUCCAUCUGCUCAAAGAGUUUUUGUAGUCUGUAUAGUUUAAAACGUCAUCAAACACUACACAGACCAGACGCUCCUCUCUAUCACUGUGACGUUUGCGACUAUAAAACAAUAUGGAGAGAUAAUGUAAUUUUACAUAGAAGACAAGUGCAUCAAAUGAAGUAAAGGAUAAAAAAUAAAAUAUUCUUUUUGAAAAUUCUUCACUACUACAACAAAAACAAAUGUAUUAUAAAAUUCGUCGUCAAUCUAUUGACAAUCUAUCAAAAAAUUAAACUUGUUAUUAAAUCCCCAUCUCUAGUCUAUAAUUAUUGGAAUCUUAAGUUAAAAAAUUACGUUAGUAAUAUAUUUUAUAAGAUUAUAACUUAAAAAUACUUAUUUUACUGUAAAUAAGUAUAGGAAAUUGUUCAUUUUUAUUUAAAGAAAAGACUCUUUUAAGUAAGAAAACUGAAGAUAGUUGUGUUUGUAACAGAUUAAUAAACGAAAAUCUCUCUUUAAUAAAGGUCCUAAAUUCCGUGGUCGACCUAUGAAACCCAGAACGUGUCACAUAUGUUUGAGGACAUUUACCAGGAACACAAGUUUACGUCGUCAUUUUAUCAUCCAUCAAAAAAAUCCACCGAAGUUCGUUUGUAAUAUUUGUGACUUUCAAACAAUUUGGAAGAAUUGUUACGUUAAACACAAAUUCGAAUUGCACGGAGAAGUCAUUUGAUUCUCGUUUCUUGUUUUAUGUAUGGAAUACGACCAGGAGUAUGUAUUCGAGAUAAUAAAAUAAAAUUUAAAGAAUUUUACUUAAUGCAUUCUCUUGUAUUCUUUUCACCAACCUACACUAACAUAAAAUAUAUAUAGCCACGUAUGUAUAUGUAUAUAGAUUUUGUUCUUUUUUAGAUAAUAUGUGAGCAGAUAUUCGUGUGUUUUUGUAUCAAUAUCUUUGUUUUUUAAUUACAGAAUGGAGAAUGAGAAGAUGGAUAUGUUUCAUAUGUCAUAAGUCGUUCGCACGAAGCACUCAUUUACGUCGUCACGCGAGUAUUCACGAACCCGAUGCACCCAAAUAUAUAUGCGAUGUUUGUGGAUACGAAUCGAUCAGGAAGGAUGCAGUCGUUCAACAUAGACGACACGUACAUAGGAACAGAAGAUAAAAGGACUGAUAAAUGACGUUUUGGUUGCUGCUCGUCCGUCCCUCCAUAGCCUAAUAUGGGUUUUUUUUAGUAUCCCGUUCUUCUAAUCUAUACAAAACUGUAGAAAAGGUGAAGGGUCGUAUCCGGAGAUCUUGCUCAAAAUUAUGUUGAUUAUCAAUUGUAUUAAGGAAAAAAAGAAAAAAAUAAUAAGAAUAAAGAUAUUUAUGCGUUCGAUUUAAUCGAAGUUUUUUUGUAUUUUAAAAAAUUUGAUUUAGUUCCUUUUUUAAUUUAAUUUAAUUAAAAAAUUGUUAAUUUAGUUUAUUUAUUUUUUAAUUAAAUUAAAUUUUUAAUAAUAUUACAAGUUUUUUAAAAUUAAUAGAGCAAUUAGGGUCGUACCUCUAAUGGUGACUUUUCUCCAAGAUUGCAGGAGUUUGGAUUUGCGAACGUGCACCGUUUGUCAAAAAACCUUUACUACGAGAUCCAAUUUGAUUCAACACACCCGGAUCCACAAACCAGACGCUCCUCGUUUCAACUGUCAGCUCUGUGGUUAUGCUUCGAUAUGGAAGUCGGAUGUACGAAGACACGUCAAGAACGUGCACAGAAUCAUGUAAAAGGCAGACACCUCGCCGACUUUUUUGUAUAAAAAUUGUCUUAAAUUUGCUAAUUUCGUAUAUAAUUUGAAUAAAUCGUGUUUCAAUUUUAUUUGUAAGUUAUAAAGCACUAAAAUAUAUCACAGAAACAGCAGAAAAAAGUGCACUUUCUGGGUAGAGGUGGGUUUGGGAAAGUGUGCUUACACCAAUCCAUAAACAAAGCAAAAUAAUUUUUGUAAUAAUUUUAUAAUAAUUUAUAAUUUCCACUUCAAUCAAAAUAAAUUGUGUCCCGAGAAGUAUAUUUUAGAUAUUUCUAGGCAAAACAAUUAAAAUUUUUAAAAAGGAUAUGUGAAAAGAUUGGUGACACGUUUUAUUUUGAUGCGUAAUCAGUUUAAUCGUGUUUCCAAUAUAGAUUUUAAUUUUUCAGAAGGUCCUUUAAGCACAUAUCCUCGCAAAAUUCUAAUUAAAAUCAAGCUGCAGCGAAAUAGUGAAAUCGUCUUCUCUGUCCUCAGGUACUAGGGCUUACACCUGCAACCUCUGUCUCAAGUCGUACACCUCUCGAUCCAACCUUCGAAGUCACUUCCGGCUUCAUCAACCCAAUGCAACAAGGUAUUAUUGUCACAAGUGCGGCUAUUCGUCUCUGUGGAAGGAAAAUGUGACGAAACACAUUCGAUCGGUUCAUGGAACGACUGAAGCAGGCCUUCAACUGAAUCCUUCCCGGAAGUGACGUGUACUUCCCAUAAUGUGUGCCAAGCUUUAUUCAAUUGUUGUUGAUGUUUAAUUGCUUAUGUUACUUCGUAAUUUAUCUGUAUAUAUUUACUUAACUCUCCAAUUGAUUGCUAGAAAGUAUGUUUAUAUCAAUAUGUAAAUUCGGUUGGUUAGAUUUUUAAAAUUUUAAAAAAGUUUUAAAAAAAUCAAAAAGUUUUCAUAAUAAUUAAUUAAUUAAUUAAUUAAGAACAUUUAAUACGUUCGCGAAUUUAAUCCAUUUAAUUGAGCUGUUCCAAGUGGUAUCAUAAGGUAGGUAAAACUUAGGCACUAGCGUAAUUAACUGAUGUUUCUGGUUAUUUCUAUUUAUUAAUAUAUUCCUCUUUCUUUUUCUUCUUAUUUUUCUAAACAGUGUCGGACGAACUGAAAGCCAGGACGUGUCCUUUCUGCCACAAAUUAUUUUCCACCCGUUCCAACCUGAAGCUUCACGCCAGGAUUCAUCAACCCGAUGCACCCAGAUUUUAUUGCGACCAUUGCAAUUAUAGAUCACUAUGGAAAGGGGAUGUGGUGAAACACUUGAGGACUGUGCACAAGAUGCAGGAGCCACCUGUAUGGUCUGCAUGAAGACAUUUACUACUCGUUCCUAUCUGCAGUGCCAUUUGAGACUUCAUCAACCGGAUGCUCCCAAGUAUUAUUGUGAACUGUGCAAUUACAACACUUUAUGGAAGAGUGAUGUCGUGAAACACAAACGGGUAGUACACAAACUUCACGUUUCUAGGAUGCGUUGCCCUAACAUGCAGUAGAUUGGUAAACCACAAAACACAUGUUAAUGAUAUUUAAGUGAACAAUUAGUUCACUACGUUUCUAUUAAAAUUUUAUUCGGAACUACAGACUUUUCGUUGAGGCUAAGAAUCGCACAAAUAUAUAAAUAAAUAAAUAAAUAUAUAUAUAUAUAAAUAUAUAUAGUUAGAGUUAUAUGUCGAAUCAGAGUUGUUUGCCGGAUGUGUUUUUUUUUUUUUUUUUUGUACGUUUCGUGUUUAAAGUAUUUUUAAUCUAAUAAAAAGUAAGUUAUAUUAUUGAAAUUAGCCUGAAUUUAUUACAUUCGAAUCUAAUUAGGUUACAUAUUAUUGUCUAUGUGUCUUUAAUGUGGAGUUUAGGGACAACAAGCGAUCUGUUUCAUCUAUAAUAACUCAGGUAAGAUGAGCGGGUAUUUAUGUAAAGGGAACCAAAAUGUCUCUAUCCGGUUCGGGUUUUAACGUUGUGAUUUUUUUUAAUUAAUUGGGAAAGAGAAUGAAGGAUGAUUAACAAUUCUUUUGUCCUUUCAGGUAAUUCGUCAUUUAAGUAUAACGAAACGUCUCGCACCUGUAAUAUAUGUUUCAAGACAUUCUCUACGCGAUCGAAUUUAAAGAACCAUUCAAAAAUCCAUCAACCGGAUGCUCCGACCUUUUGCUGUGAUAUCUGUGAUUACGAGUCCAUACGUAAAGGAGACGUUUUGCGACAUCGAAGAAUGGUUCACACUGUGAAACAAAAACUUAAAAGAAUCAUUUAAACAACUAUUCUUUUAAAUGUGAUCUCGAUUUAGGUGGGAAUUCUGUUAAAUUAAGUUCAAGUUAGUUCUGUAAGUCAAAAUAUAAAUAAUGAUUUAAACUUAUAAAAUCAUUAAUAAGUUUAAUUUUCAGAUCGUGAGUAAUUCCAGCAGAAAUAUAAGUUAUACUUCAAUUAAUUCGAUUAUUUAUAAUUAUUUUAUCAGUUUAAAUGCGAAAUUUUUUUUUCUUCUCAC